AGGACGAACGCUGGCGGCGUGCUUAACACAUGCAAGUCGAACGGUAAGGCCCCUUUGGGGGUACACGAGUGGCGAACGGGUGAGUAACACGUGAGCAACCUGCCCUUGACUCUGGAAUAACAGUUGGAAACAGCUGCUAAUACUGGAUAUUCAUCUCCCUCGGAUGGGGGUGGUGGAAAGCUUUGGCGGUCAGGGAUGGGCUCGCGGCCUAUCAGCUUGUUGGUGGGUAAUGGCUCACCAAGGCUUCGAC
rnacentral:rRNA from 1 species